GGAGGGAUAGCUCAGUGGUAGAGUGCUUGCCUAGCAAGUGUAAGGUCCUGGGUUCAAUCCCCAGUACCUCCA
rnacentral:tRNA from 1 species